rnacentral:tRNA from 1 species
UCUAAUAUGGCAGAGAAGUGCAGUGGAUUUAAGCUCCACAAAUAAAGUAAUAGAAACUUUUAUUAGAA